rnacentral:lncRNA from 1 species
AUCUUGAAUGCAAGGUGGACAUCUCAUUUCUUCAACAGACUAUCAAGCUGUUCCCUGAGACCACCCCCUUUCAUCCUAAAUCGAUGAAUUUUAACACAAUAUGUAAACUAUGUGAGACCAGUGUAUAUUCAGUGUAUUACCACCGUGGGCGAAGAUAUUUCAUCCUUUUUUCCGCAUCAUGCUGAUGUUCCUGAAGGAUGCUUCCUAUUUCUGGAUGCUGCUCUGUUCGGAUGUGAAGCAGUAAUCAUCAAGUGAAGUGUGUGCUGCGUCCUGAUUGAAUGGGUAGAAAUGAAGGACAGUCACAGCCAGCAGGAGGAGGUAGCAGGGUUCUUCCUGCCCUGGCUUCAGAGGCACUCUCACCUGGCACCUGAAUACCCAAUGGAUGGGAAUUGCAUGCUUUUAACUUCCUGCGACUAUUUGGUCUCACCCUGCUUUACCCAGCUUUGGGAGAACACUGAGAGGCAAAACUGGCUAGAGAAAGAGUCAGAGGAUGAUCUAUUACGAAUGGAGGAAAGGAAGGCAGAGAAAGAAGAAAUCCCAGGACAAGUAUGGAUGACAGCAUGAAAUGCAAUUAGCAGUUCAAGAUGUAUAGCUUUGGCUAGGAAACAAAAAAUAAAUGGCUUGGGAAUCAUUGUGAAAAGCA